rnacentral:rRNA from 1 species
AGAGUUUGAUCCUGGCUCAGGAUGAACGCUAGCGAUAGGCUUAACACAUGCAAGUCGAGGGGCAGCACGGAAUAGCAAUAUUUUGGUGGCGACCGGCGCACGGGUGAGUAACACGUAUGCAACCUACCCAUGACAGUGGAAUAACCCGUCGAAAGGCGGACUAAUACCGCAUAAUAAAGGGAACCUGCAUGGGUUCUUUUUCAAAGAUUUAUCGGUCAUGGAUGGGCAUGCGUUCCAUUAGGUAGUUGGCGGGGCAACGGCCCACCAAGCCUGCGAUGGAUAGGGGUUCUGAGAGGAAGGUCCCCCACACUGGUACUGAGACACGGACCAGACUCCUACGGGAGGCAGCAGUGAGGAAUAUUGGUCAAUGGGCGAGAGCCUGAACCAGCCAAAUCGCGUGAAGGAUGAAGGUAUUAUGUAUUGUAAACUUCUUUUACAGGGGAAUAAAGUGCGGGACGUGUCCCGUUUUGUAUGUACCCUGAGAAUAAGGAUCGGCUAACUCCGUGCCAGCAGCCGCGGUAAUACGGAGGAUCCAAGCGUUAUCCGGAUUUAUUGGGUUUAAAGGGUGCGUAGGCGGGGAAUCAAGUCAGCGGUGAAAGUUUGCGGCUCAACCGUAAAAUUGCCGUUGAAACUGGUUCUCUUGAGUGUAGAUGAGGUGGGUGGAAUUCGUGGUGUAGCGGUGAAAUGCUUAGAUAUCACGAAGAACUCCAAUUGCGUAGGCAGCUCACUGGGCUACAACUGACGCUGAGGCACGAAGGUGCGGGGAUCAAACAGGAUUAGAUACCCUGGUAGUCCGCACAGUAAACGAUGAAUACUAGCUGUUGGCGAUACACUGCCAGUGGCACAGCGAAAGCGUUAAGUAUUCCACCUGGGGAGUACGCCGGCAACGGGAAACUCAAAGGAAU